AGGUCAACAACAGCCAAGUUAACCAACAAACCAAUCACACAUACACAUAAUUACAACAACUUUGUCCUCAUAGGAAUGACAUUGUGCAAUAUUGUGCAAUCUGUGUACACUACUAAAUAAUCUGUGACAAAAUGUCCUGCUUUGUUCCAUCUUCUGCUUUCACAACCAGUGCAAAGCAACCAGAUGCAAGAGUGUAUCUACACACACACACACACACACACACAAACACACACACACACGAACCACCUCUGGCUGCCAAAACCCAGAUUUGGCCUCUUCCCCAGGACACAGACAUGCAUAACGGUGCAGCUGGUUUCAGCAUUUUCACAGAGUGACGCAGUAGGCGGGACAUCCGCAACAUAAGCAAAGCUAUUACAGUCAAAUACAGAUUUUGUUGCUUUCUGAUAAAAAAUGAGACCUCCAGGAGUAGAAAUAAAAUAAAGAGACUGGAUCAAUGUCUCUGACAUGGAUCAACACUGAAACGCUGACCACUAACACAACUAAGAAAACAAAGACAAAAAUAUUAAUAGCAGCCCCAAAGAAACUAAAAUGACAGCAGAUGUUGCUUCUUUUAAGACUUGCAUUACAUGCAUACAUGAGAAAUGUCACAUCUGGUAAGAAUUCCUGUUUAUGGGGCCACAUGCAAUAUAAUUGUAGCAGCAUAAAUGGUACGCUGCCACUUUAAGAGCAAUUUCGGCUGCUGCAUAUAAGCAGGUAUCCACCUGCCACGAAGCUGCUUGCGUCAUGACGUCGUAUCAUUUUGGUUCCUGUGUCUGCUGAACUGUGCUGGGUAAGCGUGGCUGUUUCUUUGUUUGUUAGCUUUAAUCUUAGUUAUUAACAUAGUUUGGUCUGCUCUGUUUAGCUUCUUUCGUUGCUCCUCCAAAACCUGGACUGAUCUGUUUGUGUUUGCUUGGUGCUGGGAAGGUAAGGGCUAGCGUGGCUAGAUAACAUCCACCCCAUAUAAAUAAAGCCUUCACACAGCAUUUUGUUACAGCUGCGCUGCAUAGGCGGAAUUGUGACUCCGUUUAUUUGGCAGCCUGGUAAUGCAACAGGUAAGCGGCUAUCAUAAAUACUAGUUUUCAUCAGCAGUUGUAUUGAUGAUCUGUUCUAUUUUUUUAGUUUCCUGAUGAGUCUUUGACCACCAUAACACUGGAUUUGACACUCGCUGCUGUUUUGCCUAUAAGGAACUGUUUUGCCUAAAGAAAUUCUUAAAAGGACCUAUCUGGACUUUCCCCCUGCUGUCGGGAGCAUUGAUGACACUACCAUCCGGAAAAAGUGCAAUAUUGUAGCGCUAUUGUGCCACUGUUUUACUCAUAUUGUUUCAUUUUUGUCUUUCUUUUAGGGACUGAGGCUUCUGUGGUGGCGGUGGUGACCCCUGGUGGCGGUGUCUUGUUUUGUGUGUUUUGUUGGAGCACCUUUUUUUUGUUUGCCGUGUUUUUGUAGUGUCCAGGGUGAUCCCUUUUCUUCACUGGAUGUUGCCCCUUUUCUCACCACUUCCCCCCCCCCCACUGGCAAAACAGCAGCGAGCCCAUUAAUCACAAAGGAUCCAGGUCAUGGAGGAGGAGGAGAUCCAAGAAAUGCGGGACUUGAUUGCCCAAUUGAAAGCAGACAACGAACGAUUACGACAGGAACAGUCACGCUCUGCCCCAGCUUCUUUCGUUGCUCCUCCAAAACCUGGACUGAUCUGUUUGUGUUUGCUUGGUGCUGGGAAGGUAAGGGCUAGCGUGGCUAGAUAACAUCCACCCCAUAUAAAUAAAGCCUUCACACAGCAUUUUGUUACAGCUGCGCUGCAUAGGCGGAAUUGUGACUCCGUUUAUUUGGCAGCCUGGUAAUGCAACAGGUAAGCGGCUAUCAUAAAUACUAGUUUUCAUCAGCAGUUGUAUUGAUGAUCUGUUCUAUUUUUUUAGUUUCCUGAUGAGUCUUUGACCACCAUAACACUGGAUUUGACACUCGCUGCUGUUUUGCCUAUAAGGAACUGUUUUGCCUAAAGAAAUUCUUAAAAGGACCUAUCUGGACUUUCCCCCUGCUGUCGGGAGCAUUGAUGACACUACCAUCCGGAAAAAGUGCAAUAUUGUAGCGCUAUUGUGCCACUGUUUUACUCAUAUUGUUUCAUUUUUGUCUUUCUUUUAGGGACUGAGGCUUCUGUGGUGGCGGUGGUGACCCCUGGUGGCGGUGUCUUGUUUUGUGUGUUUUGUUGGAGCACCUUUUUUUUGUUUGCCGUGUUUUUGUAGUGUCCAGGGUGAUCCCUUUUCUUCACUGGAUGUUGCCCCUUUUCUCACCACUUCCCCCCCCCCACUGUUCUUGGUACCAAUGAGACGUGCAAUGGAGCAGAAGUUGUUAAAGUAUGUGCCGUGCAGCACCCUGAAGAGUGACUCCUCUGCCCCACUCCACUGGACCACACAGCACUCCUGAUGCUCCAUUUCAUCUUCACCUGGGCGCAGCUUGGUUGGAGUCUGGCAGCGAGAAUUUCCCUCUUUAACACACACACACACACGCACGCACACACACCGGCAAAAACACGGCUUUGUGAAAAGACAAGAAAAAAAUUGUUUCAUUCUUUUUGGAAAAGUGUUUGAAGAUCUUACCUGCCUUUAAAACACAUUCUUUCUUUUAUUGUUGAAUAUUGCAUCUUGUCAUACCAACAAAGGAAAGUGUAUUAAAUUUGGAUUUUAUGUGAAAGACGAAAUUUUUUUAGUUUUCUAAAUUUUAUUUGCAAGGAAAA